rnacentral:misc_RNA from 1 species
UGGUACAAGUUAAUUGCAUCACCGGAAACACAAGUGAGUGCAGAGAGUACAUCGGCCCAACAAGGGUGGAGGCAGGUAAUGGAUGCUCUAUGUGAUGUUGUUUCUGCUUCACCAACCAAAGCAUCAACUGCCAUUGUUCUUCAGGCGGAAAGGGAUUUGCAGCCCUGGAUUGCUAGAGACGACGAGCAAGGUCAGAAAAUGUGGAGAAUCAAUCAACGGAUUGUUAAACUGAUUGUCGAACUUCUGAGAAAUCACAAUCCCGAAGUACUCGUAGUUCUAGCAAGCUCAUCAGAUCUGCUUCUCCG